rnacentral:rRNA from 1 species
AGUGAACGCUGGCGGUAGGCCUAACGCAUGCAAGUCGAACGGCAGCACAGUAAGAGCUUGCUCUUACGGGUGGCGAGUGGCGGACGGGUGAGGAAUACAUCGGAAUCUACUUUUUCGUGGGGGAUAACGUAGGGAAACUUACGCUAAUACCGCAUACGACCUACGGGUGAAAGCAGGGGAUCUUCGGACCUUGCGCGAUUGAAUGAGCCGAUGUCGGAUUAGCUAGUUGGCGGGGUAAAGGCCCACCAAGGCGACGAUCCGUAGCUGGUCUGAGAGGAUGAUCAGCCACACUGGAACUGAGACACGGUCCAGACUCCUACGGGAGGCAGCAGUGGGGAAUAUUGGACAAUGGGCGCAAGCCUGAUCCAGCCAUACCGCGCGGGUGAAGAAGGCCUUCGGGUUGUAAAGCCCUUUUGUUGGGAAAGAAAAGCAGCAGGUUAAUACCCCGCUGUUCUGACGGUACCCAAAGAAUAAGCACCGGCUAACUUCGUG